GGGGGGGGGGGGGGGGGGGGGGGGGGGGGGGGGGGCGGGCGGGGGGGCCCGGCGUGGGUGGGGUGCUCGAGUGGCGAACGGGUGAGUGACACGUGAGUAACCUGCCCUUGACUUUGGGAUAGCUUCAGGAAACUGGGGCUACUACCGGAUAGGAGCUCCUGCUGCAUGGUGGGGGUUGGAAAGUUUCGGCGGUUGGGGAUGGACUCGCGGCUUAUCAGCUUGUUGGUGGGGUAGUGGCUUACCAAGGCUUUGACGGGUAGCCGGCCUGAGAGGGUGACCGGCCACAUUGGGACUGAGAUACGGCCCAGACUCCUACGGGAGGCAGCAGUGGGGAAUAUUGCACAAUGGGCGGAAGCCUGAUGCAGCAACGCCGCGUGCGGGAUGACGGCCUUCGGGUUGUAAACCGCUUUCGCCUGUGACGAAGCGUGAGUGACGGUAAUGGGUAAAGAAGCACCGGCUAACUACGUG
rnacentral:rRNA from 1 species